GUUUCAGUGACCCACUCUGUAAUAAAGAACUUGGAAAGGGAGGUUCCAAGAUGGCCAAAUAUGAACAGCUCCAGUCUACAGCCCCCAGCGUGAGUGAUGCAGAAGACGGGUGAUUUCUGCAUUUCCAACUGAGGAAAUUCUGCAAGUGGCAACGUGGGUCCAUUCCGUGUGUGUCACUAGAGCUGGCGCAAGCCCAUGGCCAUGGUGAGGCAGCGUUUCCACUGGAACUAAUCUGAUACCUGCACCAGCUCUUGCAACUGUGCAGUGUUCCCACUGCAAACUACGGAUGGGGUAAAAGACUGCUCACCUCCUAUUUCUCAUCUAAUCUCACACACUCUGUUUGAUGAGGCUAUGGAGAAACAGGUCUUCUCAUACACUAAAGGUGGGAGUACAAACAAUUCAAGCCCUGUGCAGGACAAUUAGGCAAUACCUAUCAAAAUUAUACAUGAUUUUUCCUGCUGACCCAGCAAUUCCACUUCUGGGAAUAAUUGACAGAUAUAGGUGCAUAUGUACAAAAUGAUGGAAAGCUCUCUGGUAUAUAUUAGUAAGUGAUAAAACAAGGUGUAAAAUAGUGUAUAUAUGGCUACUACCUUUUGUUUUAAAAAUGGGGGAAAAUGGUGGAGCUUGCGGUGAGCCGAGAUCGUGCCACUGCACUCCAGCCUGGGCGACAGAGCGAGACUCCGUCUCAAAAAAAAAACAGGGUGGGGUGGGGGGGAAAUAAUAGUACAUACUCAUAUUUACCUGUAUCUAUAUAAAACACACUAUCAAGGAUUCACAAGAAACUAAUACAAAUGAUCACCUUAUAGAUGGUAUGUAUUGGGGGAUACUGAGGUGAGCAGGGUAUAAGUGGGGCAAGACUUUUCAGUGUAAACUUCUUUUAAAUUUUAUUUUGAUUUUUGAAUAAUGUAAAUUAACUGUCAAAUAAUUAAAUUAAAAAUAACCAAUUUAUUAACAAAACA
rnacentral:lncRNA from 1 species